GGUCUGGUAGCACAACGGCUAGUGCCUCUGCUCCCAUUGGCGGCCAUAUACACAAUCUUCUGCAGAAGAUCCCCGUUCGAUUCGGGGUCAGGCCU